rnacentral:sRNA from 1 species
UAUAUGUUUUAUCCUUAUUCUUUUUU